rnacentral:lncRNA from 1 species
UGGCGCUAGAGCUUGGACCACGACGACCAAAGCUGGUAGCUUAGGGCCUUGAGCGCUUAGGUUCAAGGCCUAUUCCCACUGAGGCCCAAAGAGUCCAGAGGGUGGGGAAGCCUGGCUGCCUUCUUCUCUGUGGCCUGCCUGCGUGGCCUUCUGGUCUCCUUUCUCCAUGGGUCGUAGGAUUUUCUCCUUCCCGAGGAGGUCACGACGGGGCUUGGCUUGGCCGUGAUGGAGGACGCUGUCACAGACCUGCCGUGCUCUCAGUGGAACGCCAGUGGGGUUUUAACUCCAGAGAAGAGUUUGGACUGGGCCCACGGUACAGUAGGUCCUCCGUAGUUCUGGAGGCCUCGUCCACUUGACACAAGUGACCAGGACUGUGAUAUUUUGAGGAAUCCUGCGCUUCAGCAGGAAGGUGAAGCCAUGUUGACAACGGCAUCAGAAAUGGAAUGAAUGGAGGCCAUCUUCUGUGGUGGACAGCAAUAGGAUCUCCUCAGUUGUCCCGGGUCUGGAGGAAGGAGGGCAGCGGAAACGCUACAGACCCAUCCCUAGCCGCGGUUCUCCUUUGGCAGGUGUGAGGGGCACGGGGCAGGGAAAUUAGAAAAACAGGCCUUCAGAAAUGAGAUCCAGAGUUUGUCCAAACUGAUAUCCUGAGGGCCUCGACCUGAGGAAAUCAGAUCUGAGGCCAAAGAACCGGAACCAGACAAAGCAAAGUGACCGGCCUGAGGAGUCAAAUACCGGCUGUGCCCGAUGGCGAGGCUACUCGUAAACAGCACCCAUUGCUGGUUUCUUGGAUGUGUAGGACUGUUUGCCAGGAAGCUACCUGUGCACUCGCAGCCGCACCAAACCGGCCCGCUGAUAAUCAAUCUGGCAGCCAGAAUAAUGCCACCGAAACCUACAAUCGGAUCACGUGAUGCCUCUGCUCCAAACCAACAGCGUUCGUUGCUCUUCAGGGUAAACUAGGAGUCCUUGUGAUCGCCGACAAGGCCAUCUGUGACGUGGCCACUAGUUCCCUCUCUUCCCUGAUCUCCUAGGACCCUCCUCCUUUCUCACUCCCCUUUGCCUACGGUGACCUCCUUCCUGCUCCCAAAGUGAGG